rnacentral:rRNA from 1 species
GACGAACGCUGGCGGCGUGCCUAAUACAUGCAAGUAGAACGCUGAAGAGAGGAGCUUGCUCUUCUUGGAUGAGUUGCGAACGGGUGAGUAACGCGUAGGUAACCUGCCUUGUAGCGGGGGAUAACUAUUGGAAACGAUAGCUAAUACCGCAUAACAAUGGAUGACACAUGUCAUUUAUUUGAAAGGGGCAAUUGCUCCACUACAAGAUGGACCUGCGUUGUAUUAGCUAGUAGGUGAGGUAAUGGCUCACCUAGGCGACGAUACAUAGCCGACCUGAGAGGGUGAUCGGCCACACUGGGACUGAGACACGGCCCAGACUCCUACGGGAGGCAGCAGUAGGGAAUCUUCGGCAAUGGGGGCAACCCUGACCGAGCAACGCCACGUGAGUGAAGAAGGUUUUCGGAUCGUAAAGCUCUGUUGUAAGUCAAGAACGGGUGUGAGAGUGGAAAGUUCACACUGUGACGGUAGCUUACCAGAAAGGGACGGCUAACUACGUG